CGGGUGAGUAACACGUGGGUAACCUACCUAUAAGACUGGGAUAACUUCGGGAAACCGGAGCUAAUACCGGAUAAUAUUUCGAACCGCAUGGUUCGAUAGUGAAAGAUGGUUUUGCUAUCACUUAUAGAUGGACCCGCGCCGUAUUAGCUAGUUGGUAAGGUAACGGCUUACCAAGGCGACGAUACGUAGCCGACCUGAGAGGGGAUCGGCCAUACUGGAACUGAGACACGGUCCAGACUCCUACGGGAGGCAGCAGUAGGGAAUCUUCCGCAAUGGGCGAAAGCCUGACGGAGCAACGCCGCGUGAGUGAUGAAGGUCUUCGGAUCGUAAAACUCUGUUAUUAGGGAAGAACAUACGUGUAAGUAACUGUGCACGUCUUGACGGUACCUAAUCAGAAAGCCACGGCUAACUACGUGCCAGCAGCCGCGGUAAUACGUAGGUGGCAAGCGUUAUCCGGAAUUAUUGGGCGUAAAGCGCGCGUAGGCGGUUUUUUAAGUCUGAUGUGAAAGCCCACGGCUCAACCGUGGAGGGUCAUUGGAAACUGGAAAACUUGAGUGCAGAAGAGGAAAGUGGAAUUCCAUGUGUAGCGGUGAAAUGCGCAGAGAUAUGGAGGAACACCAGUGGCGAAGGCAGACUCUUUGGUCGGUAACUGACGUUGAUGUGUGAAAGCGUGGGGAUCAAACGGGCUGAGAUACCUCGGUUGUCCAUGCCGUAACCGCUGAGUGCUAAGUGUUAGGGGGUUUCCGCCCAUUAGUGCUGCAGCUAACGCAUUAAGCACUCCGCGUGGGGAGUACGACCGCAAGGUUGAAACUCAAAGGAAUUGACGGGGACCCGCACAAGCGGUGGAGCGUUUGGUUUAAUUCGAAGCAACGUGAAGUCCCUUACCAUAUCUUAACCUCCUUUGACAACUCUAGAGAUAGAGCUUUCCCCUUCGGGGGACAAAGUGACAGGUGGUGCAUGGGGUCGUCAGCUCGUGUCAGAGAUGUUGGGUUAAGUCCCGCAACGAGCGCAACCCUUAAGCUUAGUUGCCAUCAUUAAGUUGGGCACUCUAAGUUGACUGCCGGUGACAAACCGGAGGAAGGUGGGGAUGACGUCAAAUCAUCAUGCCCCUUAUGAUUUGGGCUACACACGUGCUACAAUGGACAAUACAAAGGGCAGCGAAACCGCGAGGUCAAGCAAAUCCCAUAAAGUUGUUC
rnacentral:rRNA from 1 species